UACGGAAGGCAGCAGUGGGGAAUAUUGCGCAAUGGGCGAAAGCCUGAUGCAGCUAUGCCGCGUGUAUGAAGAAGGCCUUAGGGUUGUAAAGUACUUUCAUCGGGGAGGAAAAAACAAAACUAAUAAUUUUAUUUCUUGACGUUACCCGAAAAAGAAGCACCGGCUAACUCCGUGCCAGCAGCCGCGGUAAUACGGAGGGUGCUAGCGUUAAUCAGAAUUACUGGGCGUAAAGAGCACGUAGGUGGUUUUUUUAAAGUCAGAUGUGAAAUCCCUGGGCUUAACCUAGGAACUGCAUUUUGAAACUGAAAUACUAGAGUAUCGUAGAGGGAGGUAGAAUUCUAGGUGUAGCGGUGAAAUGCGUAGAUAUCUGGAGGAAUACCUGUGGCGAAAGCGGCCUCCUAAACGAAUACUGACACUGAGGUGCGAAAGCUGGGGAGCAAACAGGGAUUAGAUACC
rnacentral:rRNA from 1 species